GGUUUCCUUCCAGUAUGUGGGGGAUUUGUACUUUUACUGUUUGCAGUAAAUCUUGCUGCUGUUCAUUGUUUGGGUCCACACUGCCUUUAUGAGCUGUAAUAUUCACUGCGAAGGUCUGCAGCUUCGCUCCUGAGCCCAAUGAGACCACGAACCCACCAGAAGGAAGAAACUCUGAACACAUCCGAACGUCAGAAGGAACAAACUCUGGACACACCACCUUUAGGAACUGUAACACUCACUGCGAGGGUCCCACACUUCAUUCUUGAAUUACAGGGCUUUGACUCUUGGGUCUGAAGAAGGCACCAGCCCCUGCUAAAUUCUGAGCAUUGACACCAGUGGAAGCCUCAUCCUCAGACUUGGAAGAAGACGGAGUCUUGCUCUUUCGCCCAGGCUGAAGUGCAGUGGCGCCAUCUCAGCUCACUGCAAGCUCCACCUCCCGGGUUCAAACCAUUCUUCUGGAUAUUCGGCAGACUUCUAAGAGCAAACUUUCAAGUUCUAAAUUCAGUCUCUUGACCUUAAACUAACUUUCUUGGAUAUUAGGUUCCCUGAAGUCUGAGAGAGACAUAUUAGGCUGAUUUGUUAUGUUAGGAUUAUGCAAGAAGCAUUGCCAAAUCUGAGAUGAUGUUUAACUUCCCUUGGGUUAUAUUUAUAUAGAUGUAUUGUUAGUAUGUGUUCCAGGAUUGUAUGAGAGUCCUAAAAUUCUGAUAUGUCUUAAUAUAUGUUGUCAGUAGUAAUUAUUAUUAUAUUAAGUUGUUUUAUGCCACAGAAAUAAUUAAGUUUCCUUGUCAACUGUGUCUUUAACUAUGGCUGUCUGAAGACUUUUGUUAUCCACAAUUGAUGUUUUGCUGUGAUCCUUCUCAAAAGAAAAAAAGUGACUUACAAUCAGCUAUAGUCCAAAGCUUCCUUCUUUGGAGGAGUUCAUGAAAAAGACUCUUGAAUGCAGGUUUCUGAUAACUUUGGAGAUUGUGCCACUAGAUUAGAGAGAAAAUUUCCAGGGCACUAAUUGAAAGGCUGACGUGCUCAUAAAGAUUCCCAACCCAAUACGAAGCACAGCAGGAGGUGAUUGCAUGGACUGAACUAAUGCAGGACGGAAAGAACUUUUUAUGGCUUUUGUUGUUUGAAAUAUUGCUGAUUCUUUUUGUUUUGUUUUUCAGAGUCUGGAGAAUCUUUUUCUUUUGAGCUAUUUAUUUAUGGCCUUUAAGUGUAUUUAUAGUCUUAAAGUAUAUAUACUUCAAGGGUAUUGAAUGGAGUAUGCUUUUAUAAACAGAAUUUGAGAGAUAUUUCUCUGCUUAAUUUAUCCAGAAUAUGGAAACUCUUUGUGAAUAUUCUUAAUUCAUGGUGUUUGUUUGCACACAAUUAAUAACAUGUUUUCUUUUGUAAUGGGACACAGUUGGAGUAACUGGUUAUCUUCUCAAGGCUUUGACUGAAAUGGCCUUGUGAGAUUCCAGCAAAGCCAAUUUGGGAGUCUAUAUGGACAAUGAUUCUUGUUGCACUUUGUGGGUUAUCAGGCCAAGUAUAUGGAACUGAAGCUUAUUUUGCAGGUAGAUUGGUCCUGCUGUGAUUGUCUUUGGUGGAAGUGGGGAACUGGAGAGAGAAAGAUUGAGUGUCAGAAGAAAACUCUAUAUUAGAUUAACCUUUGAUUCCUGGGUGGCCACUGCCUAGGACACCCAUCCUCAGAAUGAAACAGCCAGAAAUACUCAGACCAGAUUCCUCAUGAUUGAGGGAUUGAUAAGUAGAAAGGGGAGACUGAAACCAGCCCAAUUGCCCCACAGACCGUUAUUUUUGAUAACUAUAGAAAUUGAUCCUUCUGGGCUUAAAGCUUGAAAUUUACAUCUGUUUUAUGUGAGUUCCUUCCUCAGGAAAGGAACUUCAGGCCUCUCAAAAAAGUAUCAAAGAACUAAAACUCACCAGAUCACUACACCAGAUAGUACCCCUCAUUCUCAUGAUUGCUUCCUUGCCCCCCCCCCCAGUUCCUGUUUUCUUACACAUAGUUACAUUUCUUCCCCGCUAUAUAAAGCCCCAGUUUUAACAGGUCAGGGAGAUGGAUUUGAGGCUGAGCUCCCAUCUCCUGGACUGCAGCACCCAGUUAAAGACUUCUUCCUUGGCAGUACUCAUCUCAGUCAUUGGCUUUCUGUGUGGCAAACAACAGGACCUACACCAAACCCUUGGUGUUUUGGUAACCAAUUGAGGGACCUGAUAUCAGUGAGCAGCUUCCCCUCCAACUCAGCUUCCCACCUUAGGGACCCAGGCACCAGGUCGGAUGCUUCCACAUCCUCCCGCCCUAUAUCCAGUCAUUAGCUCCUGUUUAUUUUACCUCUUAAAAUACUUCCCAAGUGUAUCCAUAUCUCACAACCCCAACCACAAACCACUACCCAACUCCCAUGACUGCCAUCCCUUGCUGCAAAGCAGCUGAGCCUUCCACUGGCCUCUCCACCCACAUUGCUGCUGUGGUCUUGUAUCUGGAAUUGGUUCCUUUCAGUGGGUUCUUGGUCUCACUGACUUCAAGAAUGAAGCCACAGACACUUGCAGUGAGUGUUACAGUUCUUAAAGACGGUGUGUCCAGAGUUUGUUCCUUCAGAUGUGUCCGGAGUUUCUUUCUUGCAGUGGGUUCUUGGUCUCGCUUGACUUUAGGAGUCAAGACACAGACCUUCGCAGUGAGUGUUACAGCUCUUAAAGGUGGCGCAUUGGGAGUUGUUUGUUCCUCCCGGUGGGUUCAUGGUCUCGCUGACUUCAAGAGUGAAGCUGCAGACCUUCACAGUGAGUGUUACAGCUCAUAAAGGUAGUGCAGACCCAAAGAGUGAGCAGCAGCAAGAUUUAUUGUGAAAAGCAAAAGAACAAAGCUUCCACAGAGCGGAAGGGGACCCCAACGGGUUGCCACUGCUGGCUUGGAUGGUCAGCUUUUAUUCCCUUAUUUGGCCCUGCCCACAUCCUGCUGAUUGGUCCAUUUUACAAAGCACUGAUUGGUCCAUUUUACCUAGUGCUGAUUGGUCUGUUUUUACAGAGUGCUGAUUGGUGCAUUUACAAACCUUUAGCUAGACACAGAGUGCUGAUUGGUGCAUUUUUACAGAGUGCUGACUGGUGCGUUUACAAAUCUUUAGCUAGACACAGUGCUGAUUGGUGCAUUUUUACAGAGUCCUGAUUGGUGCAUUUACAAACCUUUAGCUAGACACAGAGCACUGAUUGGAGCAUUUUUACAGAGUGCUGAUUGGUGCAUUUACAAACCUUUAGCUAAGCACAGAGCACUGAUUGGUGUGUUUUUACAGAGUGCUGAUUGGUGCAUUUACAAACGUUUAGCUAGACACAGAGCGCUGAUUGGUGUGUUUACAAUCCUUUAGCUAGACAGAAAAGUUCUCCAAGUCCCCACCCGACCCGGAAGCACAGUCAGCUUCACCUCUCAGUCCUUUUAAAAUGCCACUCUGGCCAUGUCAUGACACUACUUUCUCUCUAGUGGCUCUACACAGUGUCAUAAAACAACCCAGUGCUUUCCCUGGCACCCAAGGCCCUUUAGGAUGCAGCCUCUCACCCUCCAGCCUCCCCGCCCAUGCUCCAGACCCACCAGUCACCUAGCUCCUCUCUGUUUUCCCAGCUCUGUGCCUUUGCACAUGCUCUUCCUUCUGCCUGUGGUCCCUUUCCACUGUCUUUACUGGGAAAACUCCUGCACAUUUUCAAGCCCCCAGUUCAAAUGCACUUUCUGUGUGAACCUCCCCAUUGGUGUCGCCUGGCAGAGGGACUGAGCUCCACCAACACCCCCAGCACAUCUUCACUGUAGCACCCGGCAUGCAGUAUUGGCAUCUGCUUCUGUGCCCGCUGCCUCCAGCGCUCUGCCCAGAGAUACAUUGCACGUUGAGAUCCUUUUCCCACACUCACAUGCACAGUGGAUACAAAGGUUUCCCAAACAUCAUUUUCCCCUGCUGCUUGCUAUGCACACUAAUAUCUUCUAUUAUAGUCUAUUCUGUUUCUUUUUUAAAAAACAUGUUAGUCCAUCCAUUAAAUUCAUUUUGCUACAGUUUGAAAAACAUUGCCCUGGAACCUCCUGUAGGGCGGCAGGGACU